rnacentral:rRNA from 1 species
CGGAGUUAGUGGCGGACGGGUGAGUAACACGUGGGAACGUGCCUUUUGGUUCGGAAUAACUCAGGGAAACUUGUGCUAAUACCGAAUGUGCCCUUCGGGGGAAAGAUUUAUCGCCAUUAGAGCGGCCCGCGUCUGAUUAGCUAGUUGGUGAGGUAAAGGCUCACCAAGGCGACGAUCAGUAGCUGGUCUGAGAGGAUGAUCAGCCACAUUGGGACUGAGACACGGCCCAAACUCCUACGGGAGGCAGCAGUGGGGAAUCUUGCGCAAUGGGCGAAAGCCUGACGCAGCCAUGCCGCGUGAAUGAUGAAGGUCUUAGGAUUGUAAAAUUCUUUCACCGGGGACGAUAAUGACGGUACCCGGAGAAGAAGCCCCGGCUAACUUCGUGCCAGCAGCCGCGGUAAUACGAAGGGGGCUAGCGUUGCUCGGAAUUACUGGGCGUAAAGGGAGCGUAGGCGGACAUUUAAGUCAGGGGUGAAAUCCCGGGGCUCAACCUCGGAAUUGCCUUUGAUACUGGGUGUCUUGAGUAUGAGAGAGGUAUGUGGAACUCCGAGUGUAGAGGUGAAAUUCGUAGAUAUUCGGAAGAACACCAGUGGCGAAGGCGACAUACUGGCUCAUUACU